UACGAAGGGUGCAAGCGUUACUCGGAAUUACUGGGCGUAAAGCGUGCGUAGGUGGUGAGUUAAGUCUGUCGUGAAAGCCCCGGGCUCAACCUGGGAAUGGCGAUGGAUACUGGCUCGCUAGAGUGCGGUAGAGGAGAGUGGAAUUCCCGGUGUAGCAGUGAAAUGCGUAGAGAUCGGGAGGAACAUCAGUUGCGAAGGCGGCUCUCUGGA
rnacentral:rRNA from 1 species